rnacentral:rRNA from 1 species
GAUGAACGCUGGCGGCGUGCCUAACACAUGCAAGUCGAGCGAGAAACCUUUGAUUGACGCUUCGGUUGAUUUCAAAGGCGGAAAGCGGCGGACGGGUGAGUAACGCGUAGGCAACCUGCCCCUUGCAGAGGGAUAGCCUCGGGAAACCGGGAUUAAAACCUCAUAAUGCUGAUCCUACACAUGUUUGAUCAGCCAAAGAUUUAUCGGCAAGGGAUAGGCCUGCGUCUGAUUAGCUGGUUGGUGGGGUAACGGCCUACCAAGGCAAUGAUCAGUAGCCGACCUGAGAGGGUGAUCGGCCACAUUGGAACUGAGACACGGUCCAAACUCCUACGGGAGGCAGCAGUGGGGAAUAUUGCACAAUGGGCGAAAGCCUGAUGCAGCAACGCCGCGUGAGCGAUGAAGGCGGAUUCGUCGUAAAGCUCUGUCCUUGGGGAAGAAGAACUGACGGUACCCUUGGAGGAAGCCCCGGCUAAAUACGUGCCAGCCGCCGCGGUAAAAC